rnacentral:rRNA from 1 species
AUACGAAAGGUGCAAGCGUUGUUCGGAUUUACUGGGCGUAAAGAGAGUGUAGGUUGUUUAUUAAGUCGGAUGUGAAAUCCCGGGGCUCAACCUCGGAACUGCAUUCGAUACUGGUAGACUAGAGUUCGGGAGGGGUAAGCGGAAUUCCGUGUGUAGCAGUGAAAUGCGUAGAUAUACGGAGGAACACCUGAGGCGAAGGCGGCUUACUGGACCGAUACUGACACUGAGACUCGAAAGCGUGGGUAGCAAACAGGAUUAGAUACCCCAGUAGUCC